rnacentral:rRNA from 1 species
GACGGGGGGGGCAAGCGUUGUUCGGAAUUAUUGGGCGUAAAGGGCUCGUAGGCGGAUCCGCCAGUUUGACGUGAAAUCUCCACCGCUCACCGGGGAGAGGUCGUUGAAUACUACGGAUCUGGAGUUCGGCAGAGGACCAUGGAAUUUACGGUGUAGCGGUGAAAUGCGUAGAUAUCGUAAGGAAGACCAGUGGCGAAGGCGGGUCUCUGGACAGUUCCUGACGCUGAGGCACGAAGGCCAGGGGAGCAAACGGG